AUGUCGCUUGAACUACGUCGGUAUUUCUCCAAAGAGGAAAGGAUGAUGCAGCACAACUACGGAGGUCGCCGUUCUGUUUUUUCUGAGGUUCGGGGUGCACCGCAGUCCCUUGCAUGUGUGCGUGCAGUGCGCGAGUGCACAUGAAGAAGCUCCAUGGGAUGCGUUUGGUGUAUUUGCAGCUCACCUUGGUUUCCUGUCGGCAGCUCACUUUAGUUUCACUUGCCCGCGACGCAGUGUAGUUUUGUGCACUUCAUGCCCAUUAGCAAAUAGUUUUGUGUGUAUUUUUUCAGAGUAUGGAUGUUGAUUUGGGUGAAUUCAGUUUCUAAUGAAGUUUGUUAAAAUGCCUCUAUGUAGUUCGGCUGGCGUCGGCAUGAGGUUCACUUCUACAUGGUAGCUUGGACGCCUUGGCGUUGCACGUCGUCAUUUGCUGUGGUGCCAUGCGGGUGUGUGCGGUGUGCAGCUCGGAGCAAGCAGCCAUGCAGUUUAGACCGUUGUUUGUGGAUUUUUUUUGUCGAUCAAAUGUAUCCGGUUGGGAUAUGAUGUAUUGUGUGUAAAAACUAGUUGUUGAGAAGUUUAUUUCAACAAGCAUUAAAUAGUUCAUUUUCGAGAGAGAAAUGUGUUGAUGCAGCCCACUUCGAGGAGUCUUGUGGUUCAUUGCAUUCAACGAGGAGUCUUGUUGUCUCAUACAGUUUGCUAUAAAACUGAUAGAUGUGGCUUUGAAGCUCAUUUUGUU